CCUACAGGUGGCAGCAGUGGGGAAUAUUGGACAAUGGGGGCAACCCUGAUCCAGCCAUGCCGCGUGUGUGAAGAAGGCCCUCGGGUUGUAAAGCACUUUCAGUGAGGAAGAACGCCUGGUGGUUAAUACCCAUCAGGAAAGACAUCACUCACAGAAGAAGCACCGGCUAACUCCGUGCCAGCAGCCGCGGUAAUACGGAGGGUGCGAGCGUUAAUCGGAAUUACUGGGCGUAAAGCGCGCGUAGGUGGCUUGAUAAGCCGGUUGUGAAAGCCCCGGGCUCAACCUGGGAACGGCAUCCGGAACUGUCAAGCUAGAGUGCAGGAGAGGAAGGUAGAAUUCCCGGUGUAGCGGUGAAAUGCGUAGAGAUCGGGAGGAAUACCAGUGGCGAAGGCGGCCUUCUGGACUGACACUGACACUGAGGUGCGAAAGCGUGGGUAGCAAACAGGAUUAGAUACCCUUGUAGUC
rnacentral:rRNA from 1 species